GUGGGGAAUAUUGGGCAAUGGGGGAAACCCUGACCCAGCGACGCCGCGUGAGGGAAGAAGGCCUUAGGGUCGUAAACCUCUGUUGUGUGGGAAGAAGAGCGUGACGGUACCACACGAGGAAGUCCCGGCUAACUACGUGCCAGCAGCCGCGGUAAUACGUAGGGGACGAGCGUUGUCCGGAUUUACUGGGCGUAAAGGGCGCGUAGGCGGUCAUUUAAGUCAGCUGUGAAAUGGUGCGGCUUAACCGCAUCAUGCGGUUGAAACUGGAUGACUGGAGUGCUGGAGAGGCAAGUGGAAUUCCCAGUGUAGCGGUGAAAUGCGUAGAUAUUGGGAAGAACACCGGUGGCGAAGGCGACUUGCUGGCCAGCAACUGACGCUGAGGCGCGAAAGCCAGGGGAGCAAACGGGAUUAGAAACCCCAGUAGUCC
rnacentral:rRNA from 1 species